rnacentral:rRNA from 1 species
UACGUAGGGCGCAAGCGUUAUCCGGAAUUAUUGGGCGUAAAGGGCUCGUAGGCGGUUUGUCGCGUCGGGAGUGAAAACACUGGGCUUAACUCAGUGCCUGCUUUCGAUACGGGCAGACUAGAGGCAUGCAGGGGAGAACGGAACUCCUGGUGUAGCGGUGGAAUGCGCAGAUAUCAGGAAGAACACCAACGGCGAAGGCAGCUCGCUGGGACGGUACUGACGCUGAGACGCGAAAGCGUGGGGAGCGAACAGG